CUGGGGGCUCUGGAGCGCCUUCCCUAUCCUGUCAAGGCCCUUGUGGACUCCUCAGACGGCUUUUCCCUCAGGAUUUUGCCCACAGGAACAACAUUGUGGCCAUUAUGGAAAUUUCCCCUAACCAGCAGGAAUUGUCUGCUCACUUCCAGCCAUGAAAAGCUCAGCUGCUGGCCAGGAUUUCUGAGACACUUCAGCAUCCCUCCUCAUCCUCCCACAGCAGGGACGGUCCCAGGCCACCAGAGCUGAUCCCUGUGCCAGAUGUGCUCCAAGGAGAAGGAACACCCUGACACGUGUGCAAACACAGACACUCCCUGGGGCCUCUGCAGUGGAUUCGACUUUGAUUUUCACCUGUUUGCUUUAAUUGAAAGGAAAAGGUCAUUUUAGCACAACAUUCCACAGAAUUCACUGCCUAUUCCCAUCUGGAGACACUGCUGUCUCUCUUAUCUGACAUUUCCAUGACAAAUUAAGUUCCUCAGACACCUUUUGAGGAUGUGAAGUGAUUAAUAUCUACCAGAACUCCCAAACAGAAUAAACUCUGCCUCUCACUGCUGCAGCUUUAAUGAGCUCCUCCUCAGGGGAGGGACACAGAGCCCGUAACCCUGUGUGACACCUUGGGAGGGGGGAGCAGAUCCUAGAACUUCCAGGGAAUUCUCUCCUGCAUGUUGAACAGCCCAAACUCUGCCAAGAUCCUUCUCCCAGAACCUGAACACAGGACUGGGGCAAUUAUUUGUAUUAAAUAACAAUAGGGACAUCAGUUCUUAUUUGUAGAA